CUGAGCUCUCUCUGCUCAGCUACCUCGCACGACCCGGAGUAAUGCAGGGAGCCAGCAUCACUCUGCAGCGCGCGAGGGAGCUGAGCAGAGAGAGCUCAGGG